AUUGAACGCUGGCGGCAGGCCUAACACAUGCAAGUCGAGCGGAUGAAGGGAGCUUGCUCCUGGAUUCAGCGGCGGACGGGUGAGUAAUGCCUAGGAAUCUGCCUGGUAGUGGGGGAUAAUGUCCGGAAACGGGCGCUAAUACCGCAUACGUCCUGAGGGAGAAAGUGGGGGAUCUUCGGACCUCACGCUAUCAGAUGAGCCUAGGUCGGAUUAGCUAGUUGGUGGUGUAAAGGCCUACCAAGGCGACGAUCCGUAACUGGUCUGAGUGGAUGAUCAGUCACACGGGAACUGGGACACGGUCCAGAGUCCUACGGGACGCAGCAGUGGGGAAUGGUGGACAAUGGGCGGGAAUCUUGUCCAGCGAGGGCGCGUGUGAGGAGGAGGUCUUCGGAUUGUAAAGCACGCUAAGUGGGGGGGAAGGGCAGUAAGUUGAUACCUUGCUGUUUUGACGUUACCGACAAAAUAAGCACCGGCUAACUUCGUG
rnacentral:rRNA from 1 species